UACGGGGGGGGUAAGCGUUGUUCGGAAUUACUGGGCGUAAAGGGCUCGUAGGCGGCCAACUAAGUCAUACGUGAAAUCCCUCAGCUUAACUGGGGAACUGCGUGUGAUACUGGAUGGCUUGGAUUUGGGAGAGGGAUGCGGAAUUCCAGGUGUAGCGGUGAAAUGCGUAGAUAUCUGGAGGAACACCGGUGGCGAAGGCGGCAUCCUGGACCAAUAUUGACGCUGAGGAGCGAAAUCCAGGGGAGCAAACUGG
rnacentral:rRNA from 1 species